rnacentral:lncRNA from 1 species
AUGCCGGGAUAUAGCGAGGCAGGGAGGCGCGAGGCAUGUCGGGAUAUACCGCGGCAUGGUAGCGCGGGGCUUGCCGGGAGGUACCGGGGCGGGGCUGCGCAGAGCAUGCCGGGAUACAACGAGGCAGGGCCACUGGGCAUGCUGGGAUAUAGCGAGGCCGUGCUGGCGCUGAGCAUGCCGGGAUAUAGCGAGGCAGGAUGGACAGGCCCGGUCUGGGUUCAGGGGCUGGUCACACACCGGCAUGGCGGCCGUGGGUCCCUGCCCGGGCCUCCGGGUCUCGCUGCCCACCUGUGGUCCCUGGCGCCGCAGCAGCCACCGAAGGCACCGGCUUGGGGGCCCACAGCGGGGCCGGUGUUUGGGAAACACCCGGGCACGGGGGGGUCUCGGUGCCAGGGGCUCCCCAGGUCGCCCCCGUGCUCGGGUGUCCCCGGGCUGGCGGGACUUGAGCCCAGCGCGGCCCCGGGUCCCUUCCUGGUUCGGGGAUUCGCUUUCGUGGCUCAGGACCGCACCUACCCCCCGGCAGGGGAGUGUCACCUCUCGGGGCUCAGGACCCCCUCAUCCCCGGCUUUAGGGAUGUUUGGGGGGUUCGUGCCCCCUCCACCCCCGUCCCGCGGCUCCCGGCGCGGCUUAUCCAUCCCCGCUUUCUCAAUUAAAUCGUUCUUGGAGGCGAGCACGGCGAUUCUUUCCAGGGGCCGGGUUUGGCCGGGUUUCAGCCCUGUCUAUUUUCGAGCUGUGGCCGCCGGCGCUGCCCCGGGCAGGGUGUCCCGGGCUGUCCCGGUCAGGCUGUCCCGGGCUGCCCCGGGCUGUCCCCGCUCCCCUCGGCCGCGCCUCAGCACAACUUCUGCCCCGUUUGUGCUGACUCGGCCCCGUUGUGCGGAAACGGCCUCUCGCCACACCUUCCCGUGCUAUCCCCGCUCCCGGCUCGUCCCGUCUCUCGGCUGUCCCCGCCGUGUCCCCUGUCCCGCUCCGCCAUGGGGCUGCCGCUGCCGCUGCUGCUGCUGCUGCUGCUGCCCGCGCUGCUGCCCGCCCGCUGCUGCGGUGAGUGCGGCCCCGGCCCCGAACCUGCCCGGGACCCCCGGCCGGGGCUCGCCCUGA